CACGCCGGGACUUGUAGUUCGUGGCUGCUUCCCACUCCUAGCUCUCUGCGGCGCGCGGACUCCAACCCCCAGGCACCUGCGAGGCCAGGCCAGCGAUUUUAGGGGUCCCGGGCGCCCCGAGGCCGCCGCCUAGACCAGACUCAGGAGAAAAGUCAGAAAUGUGUCUAGCUUGGCCAGAUGUUCAAUCGCCAAUGUCCAGUUCAGCAUGUGGCACACAGUGUUUGUGAAAUGACUCUUCCUGACAGCUGCCCCAACCUCUGUGCUUUCGCUCAGUCUCAGGCUUCCUGCGAAGGAGACACCCCCAUGCUAAUGGCACCCUUGAACCUCAGAAGUCAGCCUUGGUCGGGCUGGAGUCGCCUUAACCCAACUCCACCAGGCGAGGGCGCCCUGCACCCAGCUUUGGCUUCAGCUUGAGGCAACCCCUUCUCAGUCCUGCAGAGUGCAGUUUGGACAACCGGGAACAUUCAACCUGACUGCCUGAAGAAGUGAAGACCCACGCAUGGACCUGGAGGAACAAGAAGAAGGAAGUGAGCCCGGGGAGUGUCCUCUGAGGCGAAAAUGAGAAAAGCUGUCAAAUGGGGAAAGGCUAACAGAAGGCUGCAGAGAAGGAUCCUGAGAGGACUUUUCAGAAGACCUGGGUCCUGAAAUUCAAACAUCGACAGUCUCAUAAAUCCGGGCAUCCAGGAAGAUGCUCACAGCCUCCCCACAAGUGGCCAGAGCUAGGAUCAUACAUUGUACGGAAGACAAAACUGCCAUCUGAGCAUGCCUGUGUACUUCUCUUUCUUGGCUGUGCUAGGGAUGGAAUACAGGGCUUGGCAAAUGCUAGCCCAGAUAAGCAAAAUGAUCCUGAUUGACCCCUGCUCCCUCUUCGCAUCCGAACACCAGCUCUCUUCAGCUCCAUGCUAUUCAGUGACUUUUCUCCUGCCCUACCUCGCCUUGCCUCCUCUUCAUUCACUGCAGACCGGCUCCUGCCCUGUGCUUCUCCCUCCUAAGCCCUCCCAUCCCCUUGGACAAUUGUCAUUUCAUGAAGUUGACCAUACCCUACUUUGGCCUCCUGACUCCUCACCUCCUGACUAUCCGUGACCUUCACCGCCACUUCCUAUCAGCUUCUGUACUCGGUGGCCACACCUUAGACCUUACCCUUCACUGGCACGAGUCACAAGUUUGCUACUAAUUGCCUAAAGUCCAACUAUAGAAGGGCUCAGCCACGGAAGGAUGUUAUUAUCCCUAAUUUACAAGAAUCCGUACUUGGUGGGCUCCAGGAACAUUAAUUUAGUGACAGGUCUGUACCUUCAACAUCUACCCAGGUUCUUCUUUCUCCCUAUUCUGCCACCCUCAGGCAUUAUCUGGGUCAUCAGACUAGCUUCUCACAUGCUCAGCAGAUGGCUACUGAAACUGAAAUAUCCCAUCUUUAGGACAGUGUCCAGAGGCAGAAGCAAGGGCCUUAUCUUCCUUUUGCCACUUUGUAACAAAGAAGGGAAAUCUCCAAGCCAGCAUAUAGGUAGACAAGAGUUCAAGGCCAUUCUUGGCUCUAUAUCUAGUUCCAGAACAGCCUGGACUACAAG